UACAGAUGAGGAAAGUGAGGCUGAGUUUAAAUAACUUGCCCAGGGUCACACGGCUGUUAAAUGUCUGACAUAAGAUUUGGACAGUCAGUUUGCUGUGGGCCUGCCCUCAGGAAAGUGGAAAUCUGGGGAAAAGAUCUUGUUGAUGCUGAAAAGUAAAUACAAAACAUCUUCCCCCUAGCUAUAAUGGGUGGGAUGUGGAGGCAGGGAAGGGAGAGAGCUAAUGUUUGGAGGAGGAGAUUGGCCAAGAAAAGACCCUUCUAGAUGUCGCAGCUGAACCGGGGCUAGAAGGGAGACCAGGGCUCCGAAGGAGGACAGAAGGAAGGUCAUGGUGUGGCCAUGAGGUCAUUCUGGGGAGGACCUUAAAUACCAACCAGGAGUUUCUACUUUGGCAGCAUAACUUUUGAGCAAUAGGGAGCCCCUGAAGCUUCUUGAACUGGGGAGUAUCCUGACUCGCCCUGUGCUUUAGGGAUACCUUGGAGCCCUGCUUUUGUUCUUAGGCUGGCCAGGCCCUCUUCAAAGCCUCAUGGCCCCACAGAAGGGCCCCGGCACCUACAGCAGUCAUCAUUGUGCUGGAGGGGGGACUAGGAGCCAGUAUCAGGAUUGCGGCUUAUGCCCAGAGCUGUCAGAAUCAGCCCCGGGGCACUUUCGUGGGCUCUUGCCCAUAUUGACAUUUGCCAAUCGUAGACCUUCCCCCGACCUCCUCAAGGAGCCUUGAGCACUCCCUCAUUCGGUCACGUCCUGAGGAUGAACAAAGCUCGCCAGCUCUAAAAUCGGAUUUCCCAUCAGCCUUUCCAGGUGCUGCCGCGGGGCAUCCGGACAAAGUUGAUCCCAGAAUUGGGAGGUCCUUGCCCGCAUCCCAAAUCAGAGCCUUACCUUGUGCAUGUCAACAAGCAUUUAUUAGGCACCUUCAGUGCUGAGUGCUGGGCAACCCCCCAAAAAAGGAUACGUCCUUUUUGUCAGAGGAUAAGGGGAGACAACUGUCACGGACCAGCUCGAGACCAAAUGCAUGCUGGGAAUCUCAGAAGGAAGCCAUUAGCACUAGGGAACCAGGAAGGAGUUCUUUGAGAAGGUGGGACAUGAACUAAGACUUAGAGAAAGACAGGGAAGUCCAGUAGGUAGAGAUGGGGGAGAGGGCAAGCUCUAGCUUGUGAAGGGACCUAUGGGAGGCCAGGAGGUCAGUACCAUGGAGUCACGGAGGGGCUAGGAAAGGCUUGGAGGGCCAAAUGGUGUUUUAUAUUUUACCCUGGUGGCCACAGAGAGCUCCUGAAGUCUACUGAGGAGCAAACCCUUUUGCUGGCUGAGUGGAACUGGACUGGAGCGGGGGGACACUGAGGAAGGCAGACUCCCAGCUCUGCAGGGAGAGGCUCAGGCUGGCAGCCAUCCCAAAGGGAACAAGGGAGUGUCUUGGAGAGGUAGAAACAACAGAAUUCGGAGAAGGCAGAAGUGAGAGUGAGGAGCUGAGUUUGAGCACUCUCUGGGUGGCUGGGCAGGGUGGCAGUGCCCUCAACAGCCUGCUCAGUUGGACUGGACCCCAGGAGCCCCUUUGGUGUCUAGUGACUGGCAGCAGACGGAAAUCACUAGGGCAAGAUCCUUCCUCCAACUCGUUCCCUCGAUGGUCCCCAGAAAAAGAAUCCUCCCUUUGGCUGCCUUUCCCUCUGCCUGGAGGCCUCUUCAGAACAUGGCUCCUUCCCACACAAGACCAUUGUUUCCCCCCCCACCCCAGCUGGCAGGGCACUGCCCCAGCCCCAAACCAUUCUAGAGUUGUUUUUUGAGCAAUUUAAAUGGUUUUUUUUAACAAGACUGAGAGGUUGGUAAAAAGAACAGCGAUUUUAGUCGUUUUAUUAACAAGACUGAGAGUUUACUAAAAAAAAAAAAAAAAAAAAAAAAAAAAACAGCGAUUUUAGUUGUUUUAUUAACAAGACCAAGAGGUUACUAAAAAGAACAGCGAUUUUAGUCAUUUUAUUAACAAGACCAAGAAGUUACUAAAAAGAACAGCGAUUUUAGUCAUUUUAUUAACAAGACCGAAAGGUUACUAAAAAGAACGGCGAUUUUAGUCAUUCGAGAGGUUACUAAAAAGAAUGGCGAUUUUAGUCAUUCGAGAGGUUACUAAAAAGAACGGCGAUUUUAGUCAUUUUAUUAACAAGACCAAGAGGUUAUGAAAAAGAACGGCGAUUUUAGUCAUUUUAUUAACAAGACCAAAAGGUUACUAAAAAGAAUGGCGAUUUUAGUCGUUUUAUUAACAAGACCGAGAGUUUACUAAAAAGAACGGCGAUUUUAGUCGUUUUAUUAACAAGACCGAGAGUUUACUAAAAAGAACGGCGAUUUUAGUCGUUUUAUUAACAAGACCGAGAGGUUACUAAAAAGAACGGCGAUUUUAGUUGUUUUAUUAGCAAGACCAAAAGGUUACUAAAAAGAAUGGCGAUUUUAGUUGUUUUAACAAGACCGAGAGUUUACUAAAAAGAACGGUGAUUUUAGUCGUUUUAUUAACAAGACCGAGAGGUUACUAAAAAGAA